UACCUGGUUGAUCUUGCCAAUAGUCAUAUGCUUGUCUCAAAGAUUAAGCCAUGCACGUGUAAGUAUAAAUUAAUUCAGACUGUGAAACUGCGAAUGGCUCAUUAAAUCAGUUAUAGUUUGUUUGAUCGUAUUUGCUACUUGGAUAAUCGUAGUAAUUUUAGAGCUAAUAUGUGCAACAAACCCCGCCUUUUGGAAGGGAUGCAUUUAUUAGAUAAAAGGGCGACGCAGGCUUUGCCCGUUACUCUGAUGAUUCAUGAUAAUUUGACAGAUCGCAUGGCCAUCGUGCUGACGGCGCAUCAUUCAAAUUUCUGCCCUAUCAACUUUCGAUGGUAGGAUAGUGGCCUACUAUGUUGGUGAUUGGUGGCGGAGAAUUAGGAUUCGAUUCCGAAGAGGGAGCCUGAGAAACGGCUACCACAUCCAAGGAAGGUAGUGGGCGCACAAAUUACCCAAUCCUAGCAUGGGGAGGUAGUGACAAUAAAUAACAAUACCGAGCUCUUUGAGUUUGGUAAUUGAAAUGAGUACAAUCUAAAUCUUUUAACAAUGAUCCAUUGGAGGGCAAGUCUGGUGCCAGCAGUCGUGGUAAUUCCAGCUCCAAUAGCAUAUAUUUAAGUUGUUGCAGUUAAAAAACUCGUAAUUAGACCUUGGAUUGGGUUGAUUGGUCCGCCUCACGAUGUGCACCAAUUGGCUCGUCCCUUCUACUGGCAAUACACUCCUAGCCUUAACUGGCCAGGUCAUGCCUCUGGUACUGUUACUUUGAAGAAAUUAGAGUGCUCAAAGCAAGCCUACGCUCUGUAUACAUUAGCAUGAGAUAAUAUCAUAGGAUUCUGAUCCUAUUGUGUUGGCCUUUGGGAUCGGAAUAAUGAUUAACAGAGACAGUUGGGGGCAUUCGUAUUUCAUAGUCAGAGGUGAAAUUUUUGGAUUUACAAAAGAUGAACAACUGCGAAAGUGAAUGAUUUUGCCAUUUCUCGGAUUCGCGGGCACUGUUCACGUUCUCUCUCAGCCGGGCGACUGCUUCACUGUAGCUCCGUUUCCGGUGUUUGAGCUCGUGCGAUCUCUU
rnacentral:ncRNA from 1 species